AUUGAACGCUGGCGGCAGGCCUAACACAUGCAAGUCGAACGGUAACACGAAACGGCUUGCUGUUUCGCUGACGAGUGGCGGGCGGGUGAGUAAUGUCUGUGAAACUCCCUGAUGGAGGGGGAUAACUACUGGAAACGGUAGCUAUUACCGCAUAACGUCGCAAGACCAAAGAGCGGGACCUUCGGGCCCCUUGCCAUCGGAUGUGCCCAGAUGGGAUUAGCUAGUAGGUGGGGUAACGGCUCACCUAGGCGACGAUCCCUAGCUGGUCUGAGAGGAUGACCAGCCACACUGGAACUGAGACACGGUCCAGACUCCUACGGGAGGCAGCAGUGGGGAAUAUUGCACAAUGGGCGCAAGCCUGAUGCAGCCAUGCCGCGUGUAUGAAGAAGGCCUUCGGGUUGUAAAGUACUUUCAUCGGGGAGGAAGGGAGUAAAGUUAAUACCUUUACUCAUUGACGUUACCCGAAGAAGAAGCACCGGCUAACUCCGUG
rnacentral:rRNA from 1 species